rnacentral:lncRNA from 1 species
GCUCUGUUCACUGAGCUCUGCCCAGCGGCUGGUUGCUUUCACACGAGGAAAACCUUUUUUUCUGCUCUCUUGGCACAAAUUGCUGGAGCUGAAUGUACCAGGGUGGGUGAAGGGGAGGAUGAGGUCAGAGAGGUAACAGGGCCAGGCAAGCCAUUGUCAGGAUUUUGGAUUUUACUGUGUACGGAAUGUGUUUGCCAGAACAAUGCGGGAGUUGCAGAGAGAGGUGUCCUGUGUUUGUUCCCAGUCUUCCUUCACUCACCUGCACCUGCUCCUGCCCUGCUUCGGCCAACAUGUUCUAUGCAGGCAUUAUAGUAUACAUAGCCUUGGAAUCAGAAGACCAAGAACAUACAAGAGAACAUAGCCUUGGAAUCAGAAGACCAAGAAACAAUUUAACUCUGCCCCUCUAGAGCUCUGAGAACUUGGGCAAGCCUUUUACCCUCUGUGAGUUUCAGUUUCCUCAUUUAUUUAAUUGAAAUAAUAAUACAGAUCACCUGAAAUGUAAUGAAAAUUAAACAUCCUUAUGUAGGUGAAACCAACUGGCAGCAUGCCUGGAAUAUAGUGAGUGCUCAUUCGGUCUCUUGUAUUUUCUUUCUAUACCCUACUUCUGUUCCCUUGGAUUCAUAUACCUGAAUUGGAAACACCCAAAGUCAAAAAGAAUAAGAAAAAUCUUUAGAAAUGUAGCAUAUUACCAAGAUCUGCAAAUUUCUGCCCAGAGCAGAUGGUUCUAAUAAAGAAAGUCGGAUCUUAUGUUGAGUUCUUUUCUGUCCAAGAAUAGAAGACCUUCCCUCUUCUCCAGUAGUGAAGAAUAGGAUUCAUCAGCCUUGGGGGCAAAGUUAAAAACUUGCUCUAGAAAGUGGCCUGGAUAGUCAGAAACUGCUUAGACUCACUCCAUCUGUUCUAUACACAUACACACACCUUUGUUUGUCAGUAAAAUAUUCAAUGAGACUUGAUAGUCCAAUCCUUUGAAACCAGAAUAAUAUUUGAAAUUUUGAUGAUUUUAUCUAACUGCUAAUAUCACUUGCAGGUCAUCAGUGUUUUACAUCCAACAAACUAAUGGUCAUUUGCUGCUUUAUAAAGAGCCGAUAUAAUUUUGUCUUCCUUGUUAUUAAAGGAUCAAGCAAGGGUGUUUCUGUACCAGUUCAACUUUCCUUAUUUGCUUAUUAGUCAGUAAUAUUCAAGAAAAUCCUAGUUUUAAAAAAUGUCAUUACAUGUUAAACUGUGGAAAGAGUCACCAUCAUUUGAAUAAAUCUUGAGUAAGCCCA